rnacentral:lncRNA from 1 species
GGGACUUGGAACAAACAGCCCAAUUAGUAAUGAUAAUAAUCAUCAUCCUGGUAAUAGCUAACUCUCACAUAGCACCUCCUGUGCCAUGUGGGAGGCUCUAUUCUCAGCACUGUGCAUGUUAAUUCAUUUAAUCCCCACAACACCUCUAUGAGUUAGGUCCCACCAUCAUCCCUACUUUGCAGAUUUUGAAGCUGAGACACAGAGAGGUUAAGCAACUUGUUCAAGAUCACACAGCGAGAAGAGAGUAGAGUCAGAUUCAAAUCCAGGAAGUCUGCUUCCAGAACACACCCCCUUCACCGCAUCACUAAAGCGCCCCUAAAGCCGGCACUCAGUGAGCGGCUGUCAACCCUUAUGUAGCCCCUACCACGAGCCGAGCACUGCCCAGUGCUUCUCACAGACUCACUCAUUUCAUGCUCACAACCCUACAAGGCAGAUCUCGCUAUCAUCCCCAUUUUCCAGAUGAGAAAACUGAGGCUCAGAGAGAUUAAGAAACCCCCCUAAGGGGUGUUGAGUAAAUGAAGUAGGGAAGGGAAGGGGAAGGGAGGGGAGCGGAGGAGAGGGCAAGAAGGGAGGGAAGGGAGAAAGGGAAGGGGGGAGGAAGGAGGUGGGGAGAGG